UACGUAGGGUGCAAGCGUUGCCCGGAUUUACUGGGCGUAAAGAGCGCGCAGGCGGUCGUUCAAGUCGCGUGUGAAAGCCCCCGGCUCAACUGGGGAGGGUCACGCGAUACUGAUCGACUGGAAGGCAGGAGAGGGUAGUGGAAUUCCCGGUGUAGUGGUGAAAUGCGUAGAUAUCGGGAGGAACACCAGUGGCGAAGGCGACUACCUGGCCUGUUCUUGACGCUGAGGCGCGAAAGCUAGGGGAGCAAACGGG
rnacentral:rRNA from 1 species